GGAAAUGCGUCUGACGUAAAAUGUGACGAUCGCUGUAAACAACAGCAAACGAGCUAGCUUGUAAAAGUUAUGCAGUCUCAACAGUGUUUGAUCUGAAGCUCAAUUAUGUUGUGUGAAAUCCUUCUGUCAUCGCUAUGGUUCCUUUUUGUGAUCUUCUGGGCCGAGACAAUAAGUAUAUGGCUGUUUUUGUCGAUGUUUUACCAGGAUCAGGCAUUUUAUCACUGGGGAGAUGGGCAGUUUGGAGAUCCUGGGCAGAUGAUUUACGUGUUGAGCAGGUGGGAUGUUCCAGCUCUUGAUUAUUGAACUUAUGAAUCUAAUAAAUAAAUAUUAAGCUGUUACAACCAUUUCUUCAAGCU